rnacentral:rRNA from 1 species
UACAGAGGUCCCAAGCGUUGUUCGGAUUUACUGGGCGUAAAGGGUGCGUAGGCGGUCGGGUAAGUCUGAUGUGAAAUCUCCGAGCUUAACUCGGAAAUGGCAUUGGAUACUAUUCGGCUAGAGAGUUGGAGGGGAGACUGGAAUACUUGGUGUAGCAGUGAAAUGCGUAGAUAUCAAGUGGAACACCAGUGGCGAAGGCGAGUCUCUGGACAACUUCUGACGCUGAGGCACGAAAGCUAGGGGAGCAAACAGG